rnacentral:misc_RNA from 1 species
AAAAAACGAUUAUCAGGCAUGCUAUCAACAAGUUACAAAAUGGCUGUCCACGACAGUAUCCUCUAUCCUGUCCUGCUGAACCAGUACCACCUGCAAUAUAUCUCGCUUCAUUCCACUCUUCAAUGAAUCUGUUGUCGCUGAUACCUGUCACAUUUUUUGCAAUCUUCCGACAAAUUUCACACAAUCUAUUUCCUUUAAGCUUAAACCAAGUCUCUGCACAAUGAGA